UAAAUGCAGAAAACAUGAAUAAGAUGUAUAUUUAAUGCAUUCAAACUGGGGAACACUAACUCUUAGCCUACAGUGUUAUAUUGCCUUCAUUAGUGUAAAGUUCGUUAAAAACAUCAAAUCAUGUAUUUUGUAUUAGACCAUUUGGGUGUCGUGGGCUAUGUAGUGCUUGCUACUUUGUGUAUAUGUAGACAUAUGUCCACAGUGCAUCACUAGUGCUACUCCUGAUUGUGAUACUAGAAAAUAGAAUUUAUCAUCGCUGCGAGCAUAGGAUAUGUCCUUCACUUUGCUCUUUUGCUUUCCUGUUGUCAUGUUAUUGUAAAAGUUUGUUUAUAUCAUAAGGCAGGUAAGUCAGUUAUGCCAAUGAAAAUACAUGACUCCAGUCAGAUUUUUUAAAUCUGCUAAUGUCCUUUAUUAUUGUAAAGCAAGGUAUAUGUAUAUAUGAGGUUUCUAGUACAUUCCUAGUGAUGGACAGAGACAGUACCAUUGUUUGAAACAAAUUUAUGAUUCUCAGGAAGUGUAUUAGACUACUUUCACUUGUCAGCAUGGUAGAUUAGGAACUUUCAGAAUUAGCAUACAAUAUAGAGGUAUUCUUUGUGCUCUACACUGUUAGGGGAAAACUUGCUAUUGCAAAGUCUGGUGUUGAUACUUUGGUGGGGAAAAAAAGUAAAGUCGUAUGCAAACAUCAAACAGAUACUUAUGAGAUGGGAAUAAAGCUAGUUGGAAUUCAGUUUUUGUGGGCGGUGAGGGCACAUGCUUUCAGUCUCAGCACUUAGGAGGCAGAGGAGGGAGGAUCUCUGAGUUCAAGGCCAGCCUGGUCUACAGGGUUUCAGGACAGUCAAACUGUUUCAGAGAAACCCUGUAUCAAAAAAACAAAAAAAAUAAAUGUAGGCCAGGUGGUGGUGGCAGAGAAAAUGCCAUAGCUACUCCUUGUCUCAAAAAAAAACAACAGGUACAAAAGCAAAACAGUUUUAGAGCGCUUAUCAAACGCUUUUUCACCUUGGCUUUGAUAACCACCACUCCCAAAAUAAGAGCAGAAAGCAAGGAUCAAAGUAAGGGUUGUAAUGAAAUGAAACUUUGUAAAUAGGAUUUACUCCGAGUAUUGUACUUCGUUUCAUCAAGUAAAUUCUGGUUUUGUUAUUUAAAAUAACACAGACAUUUUUAAAAGACAGCUGUGUACCUCAUCUCAUCCUUUCAUUUCUGUUGGUCUCUGUUGUCUAGGCCUUUGGAAAAGUAUUUUAUGUAC
rnacentral:lncRNA from 1 species